AUGUGAUGCACACUGAGAGAGAUACAUAAUAACAUCUCAAAAACAGCACUGAAAUGAAAAGUAGAACUGUAGAGAGGGAGCGUGCGUGUUUGGUUUGUUUGGU